UCCAAUGGGGGGGCGGGGGGAACAGAAAGAAAAACAGCGACCAACCAAGCAGAGCCAUCUAUUCUGCAUCCAGCUUCCGUUUUAUCCUCUUGGAAAAUAGAAAUUAAAACUGAUCUUUAAUUGUUUAAAAGAAAAAAAACCCAACAACUCAGCAUGCACUAAAAAUGCAGUGUCCCUCCCUCCGACCACGAGAAUUUCAUUUGUAAUAAAUGGUCCCAAAAAUCUAGAUUGUUCUUAUGCAAAUACAGUUAGUUUUCCCUUAAUUUUUUAAAAAUUUUUGAAGUUUUUUUUUCUUAAAGAGGCAUUGCUAAAAGAACACAAUGUGACAGCACCAUUACAAAAUUAAGAUUAUUGGGUUCAAAAUGUACGCUUGAUUUUUUUUUUCCUAGUUCUCUUAAACAUCGGGGAAACCCUGCAAUAGUUUUCUUUAGAAAUCGUUCCCUUCCCCCCCAUGCCCUCCCAACACCUGAGACUUUCCUUGCUGAGAAGCCAUCAUCCAGGUUCUGUGAAUACUAACCCACUUUUUUUUCUUUUUUUUUUUUUUCUUUUUUUUUGACAGCCUGAACGGCAGACUCCUUACUUACUAGAAAGACAUUCAGUUCCUUGGAAGCCUUGUGUUUGCAGAACUAACCCUUUCUAGCUCACAGACCGAGUUUCUUUUGCUACUCCUUGCGUUAUCUCAUUUACUCGUGGGAGAAAGCUUUCUCAAUCAGAUUCUUUUUAGCUCUUAAAACAGUUGCAGCAUUUGAAACCCCCUAAUAAAAAGUUUUUAUUCCAGAGUUUUGGUUUCCUUUAUGAACCCAGACGAGAUCUUUUCCUUGGAGAUGUCUCUUCCUCUUCGUCGUCGUCUUCGUCGUCAGGAUAAUCCACUAGGCCAACUAGACUUCCCUUCGUGGCUGUCACUGCUGUGGUCAGGGUGGCGUUCUUGGAAGAGGAGCCAUUGGAGCUUGCUGGUGAUGUCUGAGCUGCCACAGAUUUGCUGUUUGCACCAUUUGCACCAUUGGCUGCGCUGGCUGAGUGGGAAAAAGUGAACUUGAAUCCCCCAGCUGAAGUCCUUUUGGGAAGAUUCUCUUUAUCUUCACUCUCUUUAGCUUUUUUAGUUUCCAUAAACUUUUCAUAGCUGUCUGGAAAAUCAUCCUCUGGUUUAGACUUCUCAACUGGAGGUACAACAGCUUCACCUUCCUCCUCUUCAUCCUCAUUGAACCACAUUUCUUCAUCCUCCUCCAAGGCUCUUGCGUCUCUGCGAAAUCUAUUGCUACGCAAUAUAGAUGGAACACUGUUCAGUUUCUGGUUUUGCCGGUCUUUCUCUUGCUCAUAUUUUGUCUUCAAUCCCUUGAAUGUCUGAACAUAUUCGAUAGAUUCAAGUGCAUUAUAAAAGUUUUCAACUAUAUGUGCAAUAAGUGACUUAAUAUCUUCCACUCUGAUGAAUUCGAACAGUUCAAUCACAGCAGAGUUGAGCAGAUUGUAUCUAGUUCCAUUAUCCAACAGAGCAUUUAUAACUGGCUCAAAGAGAUUUCCCUUGGUGAUAUAACGGUUAUAAAAUUCAUCUUUUAGGCCAAUUAUCCUCCUCAUAAA
rnacentral:lncRNA from 1 species